rnacentral:lncRNA from 1 species
UCCCUCAGGAAGACCUUCAAAUGGCAGAGAGGCCCAAUGGAAAAUGUCUCCUAUUCAUCAGGUGAGCAAUUUAUGUAGGUUUUCUGCAUGUUUCCUAAGUGGUCCUGGAAGCACUUACAUCAGCAAACUUGCUGUCAUCUCUCUCCUGCAUUGGCUUUUCCUCUUUCCCUGUCUCACUCUCAUUGCCAUUGUCCUAUCGUUAAUAUGUCUACAAAUAACAAAUGCUGGAGAGGGUGUGGAGAAAAGGGAACCCUCCUACAGUGUUAGUGGGAAUGUCAAUUGGUAUAACUACAAUGGAAAACAGUAUGGAGGUUCCUUAGAAAACUAAAUAUAGAACUACCAUAUGAUCUAGCAAUCCAACUCCUGGCAUAUAUCUGGACAAAAUUUUGAUUGAAAAAGAUGCAUGCACCCCUAUGUUCAUUACAGCACUAUUCACAAUACCAAGACAUGGAAAAAAUCUAAAUGUUCAUUGACAGAUGAAUGGAUUGAAAAGAUGUGGUAUGUAUACAUAAUGGAAUACUACUCAGCCUCAAAAAAGAAGAAAAUAACACCAUUUGCAGCAGCAUGGAUAGAACUAGAGAUUCUCAUACUAAGUGAAAUUAGAAAGAGAAAGACAAAUACCAUAUGAUAUCACUUAUAUCUGGAAUCUGAAAUAUGGCACAAAUGAACCUAUCUCUGUUUUGUUUGUUUGUUUGUUUGUUUUUUCUCUUUUAACCUGCCUGUAGAACAAAAACAGACUUUCAGACAUGGUGAACAGACUAGUGGUUUCUAAGGGGGAGGGGGAGGGAGUGGGAUGGACUGGGAGUUUGGAGUUAGUAGAUGCAAACUAUUGCAUUUGAAGUACAUAAACAAUGAGGUCCUGCUAUGUAGCACAGGUAACUAUAUCUAGUUACUUGUGAUGGAACAUGAUGGAAGAUAAUAUGAGUAAAAGAAUGCAUAUAUGCAUAAUUGGGUCACUUUGCUUUACAGCAGAUAUUGACAGAACAUUGUAAAUCAACUAUAAUAAAAAAUUUUUAUAAAGAUACUAGGCCAUUAUAAAUUGGAAGGUUAAAAAAAAGAAUUUGUGAAUCCUACAACAAAAUACUUAACAUAUUUUAUUUCAUCUGUAAAAAUAGGUAUAAAGCACGUUAUACUCUGCUUAUAAAAGGUUAUAGCUGAAUUAAAUUCUGCAAAACACAUCAGCCAUUAGGAUUUUCUCAAUUUCUGAAAAUCAAUUUCUCAUAUCACUUUAAGUUUAUAUUAUUUCUAGGUAGUUAGUGAUUUAUGCAAAUCAACACAUCACUCAUUAAAUAGAGAAAAUGGGAAAAAUUUGUUUUUUAAGUGAAUAAAUUGUCUCAAAACAGAAAUAAUUAUCUUCUAAAUUUGCACAUGUUAAUUUUGAUAUAACAGAUUCCUCAGUGUAGGAAGCCACACUACUUUUGCAAACAUUGCACAUAAUAGAGAUUUGAAUUUUCCUCUUGAAAUAAAUUCCUUUUAAUUUCUUAAGAAAAUAUGUGAACUUUAAAAUGAUGAAAUAGAAUUACUAUUCAUGAAUUUCACAACUAUUAGUCUAUUAUUAUAGAAUAGAAAAAGUCUGCCUAACAUACAUUCAUAAGCUUUAUUUGGUAACAUAAAAUAAAUGGAUUUGAAGGGGAAAAUCUGCUUAAUUCUGACUUUGAAUACCUGGCAAUAUCUGAAAAUUCCAAGAAGUACUAUAAAACUUUAUCUAAUCAUUAAAAAUAAUUUUCUAAAAUUAGUGAUAAAGAACUUCACAAUGACGAAGAAUGCUAGUAUAAAAAUUUGUGAGAUUUUCAGUUAUUUACUCUUUUAAAAAUAUUCUCAGUUUCAAGAACAUUUCUUGAAGACACUUUGAACAUAACAUUUUUUUCUUUAUGUAGAAAUUUAGUUUUAAAGAAAAAUUUGAGUUCAGAGGACUAUAAUGAAGUUAAAGAGCAAUUAUGGUUUCACAUACUAUUGGGAAAAGCACUUUUAAAUAACAUGUGAGUUAUAGGGUAGCUUAAGUGGUAUUUAAGAUGAGUUUGAAUGUAAUUAUAACAAAUGUUUUAUAAGUAUAGGUGACAGGCAGCAAAUUGUUAUGUAGAAGAACACUCAUAUCUGUAGAUGAUUCACUGAUAAACAAGGAAAGCAAGAAAUCAGGACAACAAUGAGGUAAUUAUUCAACUCAUGAAGAUAAGAUGAUACAAAUUAAAAUGGUGAGAAUAUUUUACCCAUGUGCAGGCAUCUUCAACAGGGAUAGUCCUGGAAACUUGGAAAUUGUGGAAUUGUUAUUAUUUACUAAAAUAUGCUAUUAUCAUUUAGUGUGGCUGGGCCAGGGAUUCAAAUGUCCUGUAAUUCACUGGACAGUCCCAUGUAACAGAGAAUUGUUUAAUCCAAAUUGCCAAGGUAAUUCCAUUAAGAAACAUUAUAGCAUCAACAACAAAAAAAUUAAUGUCUGAAAUUUCUGAAUUUGAUGCGGUUGUGCAAUUGGAGCUCUCAUCCCAUGCUGGCAAGAAUGUCAAUUAGUACAACCAUUGAAGAAGAAUUUGCUAAUAUUUGACUAACUUGAAAAUGUGCAUACCCUAUAAUCAUCCUAUGACUCAGACCUUCCACUUACUGGUGGGUGUGCAUUCUGGCGAAACUCUUGCACACGCGUACCAGGAAACACAGACAAAACUGUUGAUGGCAGCAUUGUUUGGAAUAGGCAAAUUUAAGAAUCUGAGAUGAAGAGAAGAUCAGAUCAAUACGUUGUAGCAAAUUCACAUAAGGCAAUAAUGUAUGCCCAUAUAAAUUAAUGAAAUUUAUUUGAUAUGCAGACCCAUCCUAAAAUGCUCAGUGAGAAAAAAAAAAUUGAAGACUAUUCCGAAGAAAAACUUCAUAAAAUCAACAAAUAUGCAAUCCUAUAUCACAUUUUUAUAGAUACAUAUGUGUAAUAAAAUUAUACAAUUACGAACUGGAAGUAUAAACAUUAAGUUCGUUGUUGUUGAGGGCUGCUUCUGGAAAGGAGUGGGGAAGAAAGUGAGACUGGAAAGGAGGAUUCACAGGACUUCAGCUUCAUGUAUGAUUUUCUUGAAGGAUGCAAACAUGACAAAACUCGUGUUAAUUUUGUCCAGUGCUCAACAUUGCUGUAAUUUGAAAUCUGUAAUUUGAUCUAUUUUUUGAAAGCAAAAUUUUCCUUAAUAAUCUCAAGCUCACUGAAGUGUGCUAUAUAAAUUUACAUGGAAAAUAAAUAUUAGUGUCUACGCUAGAAUAAGAUCUUUACAAAGGAUUAUCUGUUUUGUAUCCUAUAUAAUAUUGUCUCUUUGUCUUUUCCACUAAUUCCUAGAUAUUCUCCCUUUUGCUGAAAUUUUGAACAUUACUAGUUCAUGUAUUUGAAAACUUUCUCAGAUGAACAUUUUUACUUAUAGGAUAAAAUAACCAGAUCUUUUACUCUUUUUUUUAAAUUUCGAUAUUAAAAUAUAGUUAAUUUGUAAUGUGUUAAUAACUGCUGUACAGCAAAGUGACCCAGUCAUGUGUAUGUGUGUGUGUGUGUGUGUAUACACAUACAUAACAUUCUUUUUCUAUUUUCCGUCAUGUUCUAUCACAAGAGAUUUGAUAUAGUUCCCUGUGCUGGACAGUUGGACCUCAUUGCCCAUCCAUUCUAAAUGUAGUCAUUUGCAUCGGCUAAUCCUAAACUCCCAGUCCAUCCCACUCCCUCCACCUCCCCCUUGGUAACCAUAAGUCUUUUCUCUAUAUCUCUGAGUCUGUUUCUAUUCAACAUCUUUUACUCAUAAAUGCCAGAGUUUAUUUCUCUUAGAUCCUAUUAUAAAUCAAAUUAUUAUCUACUUUUCUUUGCCCUACCAUGCGACCCAGAUACAGAAAUACAUUUCAUGCUUUAUGUGCAAGGAGUUUGCCAGGACUUUUAGGAGAGUACAUAGAGAUACAGGUCUUGUUCCUUAGCAACUUAUGGUUUAAUAGGAUGAAAGUUUGGAGAGGAAGUAAAAUGAAGAAAGACAUUUAACUUUAUUAUAGAAUAUUAAAAUAGUAUUUAAAACUCAUAAAUAAAAUGUGUUAAGUGGAGUAUGAGAAUGGGGAGAUAUUGAAACAAUGAAAAAUUAAAUUUGGGGAAAUAUUCUAGAAAUAACUUAGAAGAAAUAUGAAAAACAUUUUUAGUCGGAAAAGGCAAUAUCCCAUUUUAAUGUUUUGUCCAAAAUACUGUUGGGAUAGGAAUCAUUUAACCACAUUGUGAUGGGUCCUGGCUGUCAUGGAAAGAAGUACUUAGCUUGGUAGGUAAGAAGAAUGGAUGAAAAUCUCUCAGCAUGGGUUUGGAGUGGGACAUGCAAAGGACAUAGUAAAACCUGCAAUCGUUAGUUCAAAAGUUAUAUGUAAAAGAUCAUCAUGGAUUCAUUUUGAGUUCUCUGAUGGCAGAAUCAUACCACUUUACACACCAUGUGUCUGUAUGUGUCUAUUUAUUUAUGGCAUAAAUACUUCAGAGAUGUUAUGAGCCACAUGGGAAGUCCAGUACUUAAGGGAUGUUGAAUGCAGGGACACAGACAGCCAUUUAUUUACCAAACAUUUACUGAGUACCAACAUGUGUCAGACAGUUCACUGAGAUUUAGAAAUACAGUCAAGUGAGGAAGCCUGUCUACUUCACUGACUGUCUACUUUCUGUCUUGCUUUAUGAUGGAGACGUCACAUGGACCUCACCUCAGUGCCCCAUGGAGGACCCUUCUAAAGCCAGUUUGUUUCUGUGCCUUAUUAAUUACCUGUGAUCUUAUUGCUCUUUGCUAAGUUGUCCACCUUUAACCUGUAACUAAGGGACCUCAAGAGCCCAGCUAACAACAAAUGAGCCCUAGCUACUUCCCUAGGGAAAUAGAUCUCCUUUCCUAACUCCAUCACUUGUGUGGUGGGAAUUCAUUUAUGUACAUUGUACUUAAAACCUCAUUUGUAAGAUUAUCAAGUGCUUAAGAUUUAGAAACUUGCCUAAGGAAACCUGUUUUUAUUUUAUUUUUUAAUGAAGAUUUUCCUUAUGCAAAAGUUGUGAGAGCAUUGUAUUUACCAAGCCAGUAUAGCACCAUUGAACACAAACUCCUUUGUCUGACAUCUGUUCUGAUGUUAGUGACUUCAAAAUUAUGAAUAUCAGGGAAUUCCUACUGGCUUGGCAGUCAUGAACCAGACCAGUAUCCAGGAGGAUGUGGGUUGGAUCCCUGGCCUUGUUCAGUGAGUUAAGUGUCUGGCAUUGCCAUGAGCUGUGGUAUAGGUUGCGGACAUGGCUUGGAUCCUCUGUUGCUGUGGCUGUAGUGUAGGCCAGCAGCUACAACUCUGAUUCAACCCCUAGCAGGGGAACUUCCAU